rnacentral:siRNA from 1 species
AGACACCAAUACUAUGAGGCCGAA